GCGGGGCCUCCGUGUUCUGCUGUCUUCAUCAGCGUGGGCCGCGGGCCAUCAUGAGGAAGCCACGAGCAGCCGUGGGAAGUGGUCACAGGAAGCAGGCAGCCAGCCAGGAAGGGAGGCAGAAGCAUGCUAAGAACAACAGUCAGGCCAAGCCUUCUGCCUGUGAUGGCCUGGCCAGGCAGCCGGAAGAGGUGGUAUUGCAGGCCUCUGUCUCCUCAUACCAUCUAUUCAGAGACAUAGCUGAAGUCACAGCCUUCCGAGGGAGCCUGCUAAGCUGGUACGACCAAGAGAAACGGGACCUACCAUGGAGAAGACGGGCAGAAGAUGAGAUGGACCUGGACAGGCGGGCAUAUGCUGGUCAGUACAUCUCCUGAGAGCAGGGCCACUUUGCCUCGAGGCCCUUGGGUCUGGGGGCUGUGGGCCAGGUAGGGGCAGGUCAGCAGUGUCCUCAUGCCAACCCCUUUCCCCCAGUGUGGGUCUCAGAGGUCAUGCUGCAGCAGACCCAGGUUGCCACUGUGAUCAACUACUAUACCGGAUGGAUGCAGGUGACUCCAGGGGAGGAAGGGAAGGGUCAUGGGUCAGACCCCAGAUGAGAGCCUCUACUUUGGGGUGGGUGUAGAGAAGGCUUCCUCUACCACCUUCACCCUUGACCUUGUCUCUUUCUGCCUGCCUGUGGCUAUAGAAGUGGCCUACACUGCAGGACCUGGCCAGUGCUUCCCUGGAGGAGGUGAAUCAACUCUGGGCUGGCCUGGGCUACUAUUCUCGUGGCCGGCGGCUGCAGGAGGGAGCUCGGAAGGUAAGGGGAUGGCAGGA
rnacentral:sRNA from 1 species